rnacentral:rRNA from 1 species
GUAGCUUGCUACAUUACCUAGCGGCGGACGGGUGAGUAAUGCUUAGGAAUCUGCCUAUUAGUGGGGGACAACAUUCCGAAAGGAAUGCUAAUACCGCAUACGCCCUACGGGGGAAAGCAGGGGAUCUUCGGACCUUGCGCUAAUAGAUGAGCCUAAGUCAGAUUAGCUAGUUGGUGGGGUAAAGGCCUACCAAGGCGACGAUCUGUAGCGGGUCUGAGAGGAUGAUCCGCCACACUGGGACUGAGACACGGCCCAGACUCCUACGGGAGGCAGCAGUGGGGAAUAUUGGACAAUGGGCGAAAGCCUGAUCCAGCCAUGCCGCGUGUGUGAAGAAGGCCUUUUGGUUGUAAAGCACUUUAAGCGAGGAGGAGGCUACUGAGAUUAAUACUCUUGGAUAGUGGACGUUACUCGCAGAAUAAGCACCGGCUAACUCUGUGCCAGCAGCCGCGGUAAUACAGAGGGUGCGAGCGUUAAUCGGAUUUACUGGGCGUAAAGCGUGCGUAGGCGGCUUUUUAAGUCGGAUGUGAAAUCCCUGAGCUUAACUUAGGAAUUGCAUUCGAUACUGGGAAGCUAGAGUAUGGGAGAGGAUGGUAGAAUUCCAGGUGUAGCGGUGAAAUGCGUAGAGAUCUGGAGGAAUACCGAUGGCGAAGGCAGCCAUCUGGCCUAAUACUGACGCUGAGGUACGAAAGCAUGGGGAGCAAACAGGAUUAGAUACCCUGGUAGUCCAUGCCGUAAACGAUGUCUACUAGCCGUUGGGGCCUUUGAGGCUUUAGUGGCGCAGCUAACGCGAUAAGUAGACCGCCUGGGGAGUACGGUCGCAAGACUAAAACUCAAAUGAAUUGACGGGGCCCGCACAAGCGGUGGAGCAUGUGG